GAUGAACGCUGGCGGCGUGCCUAAUACAUGCAAGUCGAGCGAAUGGAUUAAGAGCUUGCUCUUAUGAAGUUAGCGGCGGACGGGUGAGCAACACGUGGGUAACCUGCCCAUAAGACUGGGAUAACUCCGGGAAACCGGGGCUACUACCGGAUAACAUUUUGAACCGCAUGGUUCGAAAUUGAAAGGCGGCUACGGCUGUCACUUAUGGCUGCACCCGCGGCGCAUUAGCUAGUUGGUGAGGUAACGGCUCACCAAGGCAACGAUGCGGAGCCGAACUGGGAGGGUGAUCGGCCACACUGGGACUGAGACACGGCCCAGACUCCUACGGGAGGCAGCAGUAGGGAAUCUUCCGCAAUGGACGAAAGUCUGACGGAGCAACGCCGCGUGAGUGAUGAAGGCUUUCGGGUCGUAAAACUCUGUUGUUAGGGAAGAACAAGUGCUAGUUGAAUAAGCUGACACCUUGACGGUACCUAACCAGAAAGCCACGGCUAACUACGUGCCAGCCGCCGCAGUAA
rnacentral:rRNA from 1 species